UACGUAGGGCGCAAGCGUUGUCCGGAAUUAUUGGGCGUAAAGAGCUCGUAGGCGGUCUGUUACGUCCGCUGUGAAAACCCAGGGCUUAACCCUGGGCUUGCAGUGGAUACGGGUAGACUAGAGGCAGGUAGGGGAGAAUGGAAUUCCUGGUGUAGCGGUGGAAUGCGCAGAUAUCAGGAGGAACACCGGUGGCGAAGGCGGGUCUCUGGGCAGUAACUGACGCUGAGGAGCGAAAGCGUGGGGAGCGAACAGG
rnacentral:rRNA from 1 species